rnacentral:rRNA from 1 species
CCUACGGGGGGCUGCAGUGGGGAAUAUUGCACAAUGGGCGAAAGCCUGAUGCAGCAACGCCGCGUGAAGGAAGAAGGCCUUCGGGUCGUAAACUUCUGUCCUUGGGGAAGAAGCACUGACGGUACCCAAGGAGGAAGCCCCGGCUAACUACGUGCCAGCAGCCGCGGUAAUACGUAGGGGGCAAGCGUUAUCCGGAAUUAUUGGGCGUAAAGAGUACGUAGGUGGCAACCUAAGCGCAGGGUUUAAGGCAAUGGCUCAACCAUUGUUCGCCCUGCGAACUGGGAUGCUUGAGUGCAGGCGAGGUAUGCGGAAUGCGCAGUGUAGCGGUGAAAUGCUUAGAUAUUGCGCAGAACGCCGAGUGCGAAGGCAGCAUACCGGCGGCGAUCUGACGCUGAGGCACGAAAGCGUGGGUAUCGAACAGGAUUAGAUACCCGUGUAGUC